rnacentral:rRNA from 1 species
GACGAACGCUGGCGGCGCGCCUAACACAUGCAAGUCGAACGAGCGAGAGAGAGCUUGCUUUCUCAAGCGAGUGGCGAACGGGUGAGUAACGCGUGAGGAACCUGCCUCAAAGAGGGGGACAACAGUUGGAAACGACUGCUAAUACCGCAUAAGCCCACAGGUCGGCAUCGACCAGAGGGAAAAGGAGCAAUCCGCUUUGAGAUGGCCUCGCGUCCGAUUAGCUAGUUGGUGAGGUAAUGGCCCACCAAGGCGACGAUCGGUAGCCGGACUGAGAGGUUGAACGGCCACAUUGGGACUGAGACACGGCCCAGACUCCUACGGGAGGCAGCAGUGGGGAAUAUUGCACAAUGGGGGAAACCCUGAUGCAGCGACGCCGCGUGGAGGAAGAAGGUCUUCGGAUUGUAAACUCCUGUUGUUGAGGAAGAUAAUGACGGUACUCAACAAGGAAGUGA